UACGAAGGGGGCUAGCGUUGCUCGGAAUGACUGGGCGUAAAGGGCGCGUAGGCGGUUCAUACAGUCAGAUGUGAAAUUCCUGGGCUCAACCUGGGGGCUGCAUUUGAUACGUGUGGACUAGAGUGGGGAAGAGGGUCGUGGAAUUCCCAGUGUAGAGGUGAAAUUCGUAGAUAUUGGGAAGAGCACCGGUGGCGAAGGCGGCGACCUGGUCCUUGACUGACGCUGAGGCGCGAAAGCGUGGGGAGCAAACAGG
rnacentral:rRNA from 1 species